rnacentral:rRNA from 1 species
AGGAUGAUUAGUGAUACGCCUGUUGGGUAGGGGAGCGUUGUGUAAGCGGAAGAAGGUUCAUCGAGAGGUGGGCUGGACGUAUCACAAGUGCGAAUGCUGACAUAAGUAACGAUAAAACGGGUGAAAAACCCGUUCGCCGGAAGACCAAGGGUUCCUGUCCAACGUUAAUCGGGGCAGGGUGAGUCGGCUCCUAAGGCGAGGCUGAAAAGCGUAGUCGAUGGGAAACAGGUUAAUAUUCCUGUACUUGGUAAAGCUGCGAUGUGGGGACGGAGUAGGUUAGGUUAUCGCACUGUUGGAUAUGUGCGUUUAAGUUGGUAGGUGGGAAGUUUAGGCAAAUCCGGACUUCCUUAACACAGAGAGAUGAUGACGAGGCUCUACGGAGCUGAAGUAACUGAUACCACACUUCCAGGAAAAGCCACUAAGCGAAAGGCUUUACUAAACCGUACUGAAAACCGACACAGGUGGUCAGGUAGAGAAUACUCAGGCGCUUGAGAGAACUCGGGUGAAGGAACUAGGCAAAAUAGCACCGUAACUUCGGGAGAAGGUGCGCCGGCGUAGAUUGUAAGGGCUAGCCCCUGAAGGUUGAACCGGUCGAAGAUACCAGCUGGCUGCAACUGUUUAUUAAAAACACAGCACUCUGCAAACACGAAAGUGGACGUAUAGGGUGUGAUGCCUGCCCGGUGCUGGAAGGUUAAUUGAUGGUGUCAUCGCAAGAGAAGCACCUGAUCGAAGCCCCAGUAAACGGCGGCCGUAACUAUAACGGUCCUAAGGUAGCGAAAUUCCUUGUCGGGUAAGUUCCGACCUGCACGAAUGGCAUAAUGAUGGCCAGGCUGUCUCCACCCGAGACUCAGUGAAAUUGAAAUCGCCGUGAAGAUGCGGUGUACCCGCGGCUAGACGGAAAGACCCCGUGAACCUUUACUAUAGCUUGACACUGAACAUUGAAUUUUGAUGUGUAGGAUAGGUGGGAGACUUAGAAGUAGGAACGCCAGUUUCUAUGGAGUCAUCCUUGAAAUACCACCCUUUAACGUUUGAUGUUCUAACGAAGAUGACGAAACGUGGUCUCGGACAGUGUCUGGUGGGUAGUUUGACUGGGGCGGUCUCCUCCCAAAGCGUAACGGAGGAGCACGAAGGUUUGCUAAUCACGGUCGGACAUCGUGAGGUUAGUGCAAUGGUAUAAGCAAGCUUAACUGCGAGACAGACAAGUCGAGCAGGUACGAAAGUAGGUCAUAGUGAUCCGGUGGUUCUGAAUGGAAGGGCCAUCGCUCAACGGAUAAAAGGUACUCCGGGGAUAACAGGCUGAUACCGCCCAAGAGUUCAUAUCGACGGCGGUGUUUGGCACCUCGAUGUCGGCUCAUCACAUCCUGGGGCUGAAGUAGGUCCCAAGGGUAUGGCUGUUCGCCAUUUAAAGUGGUACGCGAGCUGGGUUUAGAACGUCGUGAGACAGUUCGGUCCCUAUCUGCCGUGGGCGU